AACGAACGCUGGCGGCAUGCCUAACACAUGCAAGUCGAACGAAACCUUCGGGUCUAGUGGCGCACGGGGGCGUAACGCGUGGGAACCUUAACUUAGAUUCAGACUAACUACCCGAAAGGGGUGCUAAUACCGGAUAAUGUCUUCGGACCAAAGAUUUAUCGCCUUUGGAUGGGCCCGCGUUGGAUUAGAUAGUUGGUAGGGUAAAAGCCUACCAAGGCGACGAUCCAUAGCUGGUCUGGGAGGCUGAUCAGCCACACUGGGACUGAGACACGGCCCAGACUCCUACGGGAGGCAGCAGUGGGGAAUAUUGGACCAUGGGCGAAAGCCUGAUCCAGCAAUGCCGCGUGAGUGAUGAAGGCCUUAGGGUUGUAAAGCUCUUUUACCCGGGAUGAUAAUGACAGUACCGGGAGAAUAAGCUCCGGCUAACUCCGUG
rnacentral:rRNA from 1 species